rnacentral:rRNA from 1 species
UACGUAGGGUGCAAGCGUUGUCCGGAAUUAUUGGGCGUAAAGAGCUCGUAGGCGGUUUGUCGCGUCUGCUGUGAAAACUCGGGGCUUAACCCCGGGCCUGCAGUGGGUACGGGCAGACUAGAGUGUGGUAGGGGAGAUCGGAAUUCCUGGUGUAGCGGUGAAAUGCGCAGAUAUCAGGAGGAACACCGGUGGCGAAGGCGGAUCUCUGGGCCAUUACUGACGCUGAGGAGCGAAAGCGUGGGGAGCGAACAGG